rnacentral:rRNA from 1 species
GAUGAACGCUGGCGGCGUGCCUAAUACAUGCAAGUCGAGCGAACAGACGAGGAGCUUGCUCCUCUGACGUUAGCGGCGGACGGGUGAGUAACACGUGGAUAACCUACCUAUAAGACUGGGAUAACUUCGGGAAACCGGAGCUAAUACCGGAUAAUAUAUUGAACCGCAUGGUUCAUUAGUGAAAGACGGUUUUGCUGUCACUUAUAGAUGUAUCCGCGCCGCAUUAGCUAGUUGGUAAGGUAACGGCUUACCAAGGCAACGAUGCGUAGCCGACCUGAGAGGGUGAUCGGCCACACUGGAACUGAGACACGGUCCAGACUCCUACGGGAGGCAGCAGUAGGGAAUCUUCCGCAAUGGGCGAAAGCCUGACGGAGCAACGCCGCGUGAGUGAUGAAGGUCUUCGGAUCGUAAAACUCUGUUAUUAGGGAAGAACAAAUGUGUGAGUAACUAUGCACGUCUUGACGGUACCUAAUCAGAAAGCCACGGCUAACUACGUG